rnacentral:rRNA from 1 species
GUGAACCUGCGGAAGGAUCAUUAUUGAAUAAACCUGAUGGGUUGUUGCUGGCUCUCUUGGGAGCAUGUGCACACCUUGUCAUCUUUAUAUUUCCACCUGUGCACCUUUUGUAGACCUCCCCAGGNUCUAUGUUGCUUCAUUUACCCCCAAUGUAUGUUAAUAGAAUGUUGUGUCUAUAAAAUCUAUACAACUUUCAGCAACGGAUCUCUUGGCUCUCGCAUCGAUGAAGAACGCAGCGAAAUGCGAUAAGUAAUGUGAAUUGCAGAAUUCAGUGAAUCAUCGAAUCUUUGAACGCACCUUGCGCUCCUUGGUAUUCCGAGGAGCAUGCCUGUUUGAGUGUCAUUAAUAUAUAUCAACCCACUCUUGUUGAGUGGUUUGGAUGUGGAGGGUUUUGCUGGCUGCUUAAAAGGUGCCAGCUCCUCUGAAAUGCAUUAGUGGAACAACCUGUCCAUUCAUUGGUGUGAUAACUAUCUACGCUGUUGAAUGUGAGGCAGUUCAGCUAUCUAACAGUCCUUGGACAAACUUAUCAUUUAAUGUGACCUCAAAUC